rnacentral:rRNA from 1 species
GGUACCUACGGGGGGCAGCAGUGGGGAAUAUUGGGCAAUGGGCGCAAGCCUGACCCAGCAAUGCCGCGUGAAGGAAGAAGGCUUUCGGGUUGUAAACUUCUUUUGACAGGGAAGAGCAGAAGACGGUACCCGUCGAAUAAGCCACGGCUAACUACGUGCCAGCAGCCGCGGUAAUACGUAGGUGGCAAGCGUUGUCCGGAUUUACUGGGUGUAAAGGGCGUGUAGCCGGGCUGACAAGUCAGAUGUGAAAUCCGGGGGCUAAACCCACGAACUGCAUUUGAAAUUGUUGGUCUUGAGUAUAGGAG